GUUAUAGGGUCAAGCGAACAAGUGCAUGUGGUGGAUGCCUUGGCGAUCACAGGCGAUGAAGGACGCGGUAGCCUGCGAAAAGCUUCGGGGAGCUGGCAAACAAGCUUUGAUCCGGAGAUGUCCGAAUGGGGAAACCCGGCCCGAAUGGGUCAUCCCACACUGAAUCCAUAGGUGUGGGAAGCGAACGCGGCGAACUGAAACAUCUAAGUAGCUGCAGGAACAGAAAUCAACCGAGAUUCCCAAAGUAGUGGCGAACGAAAUGGGAAGAGCCUUGUACUCUUUAGCAGUGGUGUUAGCAGAACGGGAUGGAAAGCCCGGCCCUAGCAGGUGAUAGCCCUGUAUGCGAAAACACGAUUGUGGAACUAGGUGUACGACAAGUAGGGCGGGACACGUGAAAUCCUGUCUGAAGAUGGGGGACCAUCCUCCAAUGCUCAAUCCUAGGGAGCGACAGAUAGUAAACCAGAACCGUGAGGUAACGGCGCACAUGCGCCCGGGAGGGGAGUGAAAUAGAUCCUGAAACCGCAUGCAUACAAACAGUCGGAGCCUCGUAAGGGGUGACGGCGUACCUUUUGUAUAAUGGGUCAGCGACUUACAUUCAGUGGCAAGCUUAACCGAUUAGGGAAGGCGUAGCGAAAGCGAGUCCGAACAGGGCGUUGAGUCGCUGGGUGUAGACCCGAAACCAGAUGAUCUAUCCAUGGCCAGGUUGAAGGUGCGGUAACACGUACUGGAGGACCGAACCCACUAACGUUGAAAAGUUAGGGGAUGAGCUGUGGAUAGGGGUGAAAGGCUAAACAAAUCUGGAAAUAGCUGGUUCUCUCCGAAAACUAUUUAGGUAGUGCCUCGUGUCUCACCUUCGGGGUAGAGCACUGUCAUGGUUGGGGGGUCUAUUGCUGAUUACCCCGCCAUAGCAAACUCCGAAUACCGAAGAGUGCAAUCACGGGAGACAGACAUCGGGUGCUAACGUCCGGUGUCAAGAGGGAAACAACCCAGACCGCCAGCUAAGGUCCCCAAAUAUAGCUAAGUGGGAAACGAAGUGGGAAGGCUAAAACAGUCAGGAGGUUGGCUUAGAAGCAGCCACCCUUUAAAGAAAGCGUAAUAGCUCACUGAUCGAGUCGUCCUGCGCGGAAGAUGUAACGGGGCUAAGCUAUAUACCGAAGCUGCGGACGCGUGCGCUCCUUUAAGUGCACCAAGCUUGUCGAUGCGCAGCAUCGACAAAGCACCCAAACAAUGAUCGUUGGGUGUCAAUGCUAGUGGAUUUAAAGGAGCGUACGCGUGGUAGGAGAGCGUUCUGUAAGCCUGUGAAGGUGUCUUGUAAAGGAUGCUGGAGGUAUCAGAAGUGCGAAUGCUGACAUGAGUAGCGAUAAAGGGGGUGAAAGGCCCCUCGCCGUAAGCCCAAGGUUUCCUACGCAACGUUCAUCGGCGUAGGGGAUCGCGGAAGGUUGUCCGGGUGUUGGAAGUCCCGGUCCCUGCAUUGGAGAAGGCGCUCAGGCAAAUCCGGGCGCGGGAUUCAAGGAUGCGGGGCGAGCGGCCUAGUGCUGCGAAGCAAUUGGAAGUGGUUCCAAGAAAAGCCUCUAAGCUUCAGUCAUACGAGACCGUACCGCAAACCGACACAGGUGGGCGAGAUGAGUAUUCUAAGGCGCUUGAGAGAACUCGGGAGAAGGAACUCGGCAAAUUGGUACCGUAACUUCGGGAUAAGGUACGCCCUGGUAGCUUGACUGGCCUGCGCCAGAAGGGUGAAGGGGUUGCAAUAAAAUGGUGGCUGCGACUGUUUAAUAAAAACACAGCACUCUGCAAACACGAAAGUGGACGUAUAGGGUGUGACGCCUGCCCGGUGCCGGAAGAUUAAAUGAUGGGGUGCAAGCUCUUGAUUGAAGUCCCGGUAAACGGCGGCCGUAACUAUAACGGUCCUAAGGUAGCGAAAUUCCUUGUCGGGUAAGUUCCGACCUGCACGAAUGGCGUAACGAUGGCCACACUGUCUCCUCCCGAGACUCAGCGAAGUUGAAGUGUUUGUGAUGAUGCAAUCUCCCCGCGGCUAGACGGAAAGACCCCAUGAACCUUUACUGUAGCUUUGCAUUGGACUUUGAACCGAUCUGUGUAGGAUAGGUGGGAGGCUUUGAAGCGUGGACGCUAGUUCACGUGGAGCCGUCCUUGAAAUACCACCCUGGUUUGUUUGAGGUUCUAACCUUGACCCGUGAAUCCGGGUCGGGGACAGUGCAUGGUAGGCAGUUUGACUGGGGCGGUCUCCUCCCAAAGUGUAACGGAGGAGUUCGAAGGUACGCUUGGUACGGUCGGACAUCGUACCUAAAGUGCAAUGGCAAAAGCGUGCUUAACUGCGAGACCGACAAGUCGAGCAGGUGCGAAAGCAGGACAUAGUGAUCCGGUGGUUCUGAAUGGAAGGGCCAUCGCUCAACGGAUAAAAGGUACUCUGGGGAUAACAGGCUGAUACCGCCCAAGAGUUCAUAUCGACGGCGGUGUUUGGCACCUCGAUGUCGGCUCAUCUCAUCCUGGGGCUGUAGCCGGUCCCAAGGGUAUGGCUGUUCGCCAUUUAAAGAGGUACGUGAGCUGGGUUUAAAACGUCGUGAGACAGUUUGGUCCCUAUCUGCCGUGGGCGUUGGAAUCUUGACGGGGGCUGCUCCUAGUACGAGAGGACCGGAGUGGACGUACCGCUGGUGUACCUGUUGUCUCGCCAGAGGCAUCGCAGGGUAGCUAUGUACGGAAGAGAUAACCGCUGAAAGCAUCUAAGCGGGAAACUCGCCUGAAGAUGAGGAUUCCCUGGCGGCUUGACCGCCUUGAAGGGUCGUUCGAGACCAGGACGUUGAUAGGCUGGGUGUGGAAGCGCAGUAAUGCGUUAAGCUAACCAGUACUAAUUGCCCGUAAGGCUUGAUCCUAUAACCAGUGUGUUUUG
rnacentral:rRNA from 1 species